rnacentral:rRNA from 1 species
AAUGGGGGAAACCCUGAUCCAGCAACGCCGCGUGAGGGAAGAAGGCCUUCGGGUUGUAAACCUCUGUCGGAGGGGACGAAACCUCCUAUGGCUAAUAUCCAUGGGACUUGACGGUACCCUCAAAGGAAGCACCGGCUAACCUCGUGCCAGCAGCCGCGGUAAUACGAGGGGUGCAAGCGUUGUUCGGAUUUACUGGGCGUAAAGCGUGCAGAGGUGGAUUGGUAAGUCAGAUGUGAAAUCCCCCGGUUCAACCGGGGAAGGUCAUUUGAUACUGCUAGUCUUGAGUUUCGCGGGGGUGGGUAGAAUUCCCAGUGUAGAGGUGAAAUUCGUAGAGAUUGGGAGGAAUACCGGUGGCGAAAGCGGCUCACUAAGCGAAUACUGACACUCAAGCACGAAAGCGUGGGUAGCAAA